rnacentral:snRNA from 1 species
GUGCUUGCUUCCAGAGCAUAUAUACUAAAACUGGAAUGAUCACAUGGCUUCCUGCACAAGGAUGAUAGGCAAAUCUGCAGAACUGUCCGUAUUUUUA